GCUUGUCUCAAAGAUUAAGCCAUGCAUGUCUUAGUGUAAAUAACUCUUAUGAAACUGCGAAUGGCUCAUUAAAUCAGUUAUCAAAUACGUGAUGGUCGCCUACUACAUGGAUAACCGUAGUAAUUCUAGAGCUAAUACAUGCACAAAGGCCCACUCACGUGGGUUGUGAUUAUUAGAUUCAAACCGGCCUCGUUCUGGUGAUUCAUAAUAAUUGGUCGAACCGCAUGCCCUUGUGGUGGCGGUGAUUCAUCCUUAUUUCUGCCCUAUCAACUUUCAACCGUAAGGUAGUGGCCUACGGUGGUGGUAACGGGUGACGGAGGAUUAGGGUUCGAUUCCGGAGAGGGAGCCUGAGAAACGGCUACCACAUCCAAGGAAGGCAGCAGG
rnacentral:rRNA from 1 species